GCGCGUCGGGAACUCGACGGCGACAAGAAAGCAGGAGGARGCUCGUUCGCGAGGGAUCCGGCGUUCCRGAGCCGGCGAAAAUGUSGGUUUAUYACGRGAAARGAGGYUUUCCCACGGGAAAGCCCUUUCCAUCCUGGACCUCAG
rnacentral:misc_RNA from 1 species